rnacentral:rRNA from 1 species
GCGUAAAGAGCUCGUAGGUGGUUUGUCGCGUUGUUCGUGAAAUCUCACGGCUUAACUGUGAGCGUGCGGGCGAUACGGGCAGACUUGAGUACUGCAGGGGAGACUGGAAUUCCUGGUGUAGCGGUGGAAUGCGCAGAUAUCAGGAGGAACACCGGUGGCGAAGGCGGGUCUCUGGGCAGUAACUGACGCUGAGGAGCGAAAGCGUGGGGAGCGAACAGGAUUAGAUACCCUGGUAGUCCACGCCGUAAACGGUGGGUACUAGGUGUGGGUUUCCUUCCUUGGGAUCCGUGCCGUAGCUAACGCAUUAAGUACCCCGCCUGGGGAGUACGGCCGCAAGGCUAAAACUCAAAGAAAUUGACGGGGGCCCGCACAAGCGGCGGAGCAUGUGGAUUAAUUCGAUGCAACGCGAAGAACCUUACCUGGGUUUGACAUGCACAGGACGCCGGCAGAGAUGUCGGUUCCCUUGUGGCCUGUGUGCAGGUGGUGCAUGGCUGUCGUCAGCUCGUGUCGUGAGAUGUUGGGUUAAGUCCCGCAACGAGCGCAACCCUUGUCUCAUGUUGCCAGCGGGUAAUGCCGGGGACUCGUGAGAGACUGCCGGGGUCAACUCGGAGGAAGGUGGGGAUGACGUCAAGUCAUCAUGCCCCUUAUGUCCAGGGCUUCACACAUGCUACAAUGGCCGGUACAAAGGGCUGCGAUGCCGCGAGGUUAAGCGAAUCCUUUUAAAGCCGGUCUCAGUUCGGAUCGGGGUCUGCAACUCGACCCCGUGAAGUCGGAGUCGCUAGUAAUCG